CCGCCGGUGUUGUUGUGAGAAGUUCAUUAAACCUUAUCAUUUAGAGGAAGGAGAAGUCGUAACAAGGUUUCCGUAGGUGAACCUGCGGAAGGAUCAUUGAACACACGAUCUCGGAAAAACCCUGCGAAUCGCUCUAGUAUCUCGAGGGGUCGUGCUGGGAGGCACGAUCGUCGGUCUCGGAGUCGCGGAUUCAUGUGCAUCCGCCGUGAUCCGCCUGGUGGUGCGUGCUGGGAGCAAUGCGUCUCCGGAGAACCGUCGGAACACUCUUCGGCACGCGUGGUCUCGUGUUUGCUUGCGUGCUGUGUGAUCGAGAAGAUCUCCGCUCCUCUCGAUGGCGCCCGCUGCGCUCGAAGGCCGGGAGUGCGUUCCCCUCCUCCGAGGGGGAAGGUCGGGAGUCCCGAGAGGUUUCUUUCUCCUCGAAGGCUCUCCUCUCUCCCUUCGGUGCCCCCUUUUUUUCCCACUAGGAACCUGGUGAAACGAGAUUUUGAUGGGCUGAGUUGGGCGGAGGAGGAUCCGUUCCGGACGGAUUCCCCGAACCCCAAGGACAGCGAGAAAACGCAAAUGACUCUNNNNNNCGGAUAUCUUGGCUCUUGCAACGAUGAAGAACGCAGCGAAAUGCGAUACCUAGUGUGAAUUGCAGAAUUCCGCGAAUCAUCGAGUUUUUGAACGCAAGUUGCGCCCGAGGCUCGUUCCGAGGGCAUGCCUGCCUGAGCGUCCGCUCCGACCCACCCACAAAUCUCCCUCUCUCUCCCCCCUCCUCUAGCUGGGGAGGAGGAUCGAGAAAAAGGGUUCGAAGUGCGUGUGGAACUGGUCGUCCGGGAACCCGAUCGUCCCUCUUGCGGCGACGGUCGAAGGAUUCGCGGNUGGCUGAAAACUGGGAGCCGUCCGUCAAGCGCGCGCAGUGGGCAAGGGUGCGUCGCGAGAGGGUGCCGUCCUCUCCUCGUGAGAUGGACGUUCGUAACAAAAGCGUCGUGCCUCCACUGCGGAGUCCAGACUUGGAGGAUUGGCGAGAUACCAUAAAAACAUGGGAACGGGAAGGCUUCGGUCGUCUUCUCAGCGCCCUCGCCCCCAACAGAUCUGUGGGGGCGAGCGGCGUGUCAGGAGGAGGUUCCGGCCUGAGCGUGAUGUUGUUUGGACCUCAGAUCAGACAAGACCACCCGCUGAGUUUAAGCAUAUCACUAAGCGGAGGAGAAGAAACUAACAAGG
rnacentral:rRNA from 1 species